UCUGCGUGGCCCCGUGCGGUUCGGGCUCUGCAGUAAUCGGUGCCGCUGCGGGUUAUAAAUAAACACCGUAAAGCCCCCGCUGCUUACGCGUCGGAGGGUUGUGUAAGACUUUCGGCUUCCUUAAAAAAAAUAUCCAAAUAAAGCCAUUGUUGUCUUCCUCUGUGAGGGGCGAAGAAGUUUAGAAACUUUUAUGCAAGAGCUCAGAAAUCGGCAAAUGUGUAAAAUGACCCAGACUUGGAUCUGUCACACCUCAUGAUUGAUAACCGAGGACCCUCUGACAUGAGCGCGGCUGGGACGAUCCGAGCUCGAGCAGCUUUACAGGCACAGCACACGUGGGAGCGUGUGCUGCUAAACACGCACUGGGAUGCGGUGCAAUACCCGAAAUGUGAAAUGCAGUCAAGGUCGCAGCUAAUAGCUGUGGGGAGUUCAACUCAACUGCAGCAACCCCCUGGGAAACAGGAAAAGAUGAACUGUCAAGUCAGGCUUUAUUGUGGGAGGAGUGGAGCAGCAGGAAGGAGCAGAGCAGAGGGAGAAGCCAGCACAAGUUUUCCUGGAGGUUUUUUGUCUUAUUGGUGUUGGAGAUAUUUGGCCAAAAGGUGCUAACACAAUGCACAAGUUUGGUGUAGAUGGCAAGAAAAAGAGUUUCAUUAGAGCUAAUGAAGCAUCUACUGCCUUGUCUGAGUUAGUAAUUUGGAACAUGUUACUUGAAUAAACACAAAAGUGAAAAACAAAGGCAGAGUGAAGCAGCUCAGGGAAGCCCAACAAAGAAAAGAAGGAACAGGAAUGGAUGGUUCUAGUCACAGAGGAAGGACAGUAGAAGAGUGGAAGGGCAGGGGAAUCAAGUAGUAGGAAUGGGAGGCUAGCUCCAAGGCAGUGGAUAAUAGCAGAGAUAUGUAUGAAGCCAAGAAUUUUGUUUCUAAUACUUAUUUCCUCACAAUUUCUCCUUGAACACAACUCUUCUUGAUGGACAAGUUACUGGGACAGAGAAGAAGAGGACUAGACACCCUUGUAAAAGAGGCUUGGGAUAAUUACACAUGACACAGGGAGUACAAUUCAUAAAUUAAACAGCCCUGAGAAAAGCUGGGAGAGGGCCCCAAAAUCUGCAUGCAAGGAAGAAGAGCAUUUGAAAUUCUGGAUCCUGUGGAGACCACUGAUGGAUUCAGAGCCAAUCAUGCCAAGGGCUUGAGGCUUUCUAGGAAAAAGAGAACGUUUUCUGUUUGGUGAGGAAAAGGAAACAUGAAGGAACACUUACUUGAUAGGCCUUUGGUGUCAAAUCUACAAGCUGGGUGUAGUAACGUGGCAGAUGUUGGCAAAGUCUGUCUAAUGAAAAUUCCUGUAAUUUUUCACCGACCUUAAACUAUCUCUGUGGCUGUGAAGAAUAAGUAGCAAGAAUCCCUUGUGAUGUGAUAGCAUUCUUAUUAUUUUCCUUUGUUGCAAAUGUACUUUACAGAGGAACAAAUGAAUUAGCUUAAUCAUGAAUUAACUACACUUUGAAUGGCACCGUGUGGCUGUCAGUGCUGCAACUUUCUUCUUCCUGCAGUAUGAAAAUUGCAUGUGCAUAACUGGAGACAAAUCCCUCCAGAUGCAGUGUUGUUAUUUCUGUUAUUUUUGAAAUACCAAAAUCUGGACAUCAAUGUUAUCCAUGAGAGAUGUCCUGGCCUGACCAGAUAUUAAUCCCAAAUGAGCUCAAGCACUCCUCUAAAUCAGUUCUGAAUGCAGCCUAAAGUGCACCCAGCACUUUAUAUUUCCCACCAUACUAUGAUGGAGAUGACAUAUGCAUUAAAGUGUUGGAUUUAUGCAGAUUUGCCAAGAGGGCAGUGGUGCACAAAUAGAGCUGUGUUUAACUGAAAGGACAUGUGCUCCCCAUACGGAUGCGGUCAUGGUUGCUUAGGCUCUGAAUGAGUUCAUAUUGCACUUCUCCAGAAGAAAACAUUUGCUAAGUAUUUCUUCGGGCUAAUUUUUUCAUGCUGCAAAUAGUAGUUGUCAUCAUCUCACCCAACACACAGGUUUCAAGACACAAGCUGUCAGAACAUACUGGAAUGGUUUGUUUCUGUGAAAGAUGAUUGCCAGGAAGUACCUGCCUCUCCUAUAUUGCGUGAGCAAACCCUUGAUAUCAUCUCUGUGUUCCUCAGUGACUACCUCAAGUGGUUUGUUCUCAGUACAUUGCCUGUCAGAGACUCCUUUGAAGUUACCUAACUCCCUUAGUGCUGCAGGGGACCCAGAUACUCAGCUCUUAAUUUUUGGUAACCAUCUACGGCUAUAAUAGCCUCAUGAGUAUUCUCCAUACAUGUUGAAGUGUUUUGGGUUUGGUUUUUUUGUGAUUGGUUGGUUUUUUUUGUUUUGUUUUUUUUUUUUCAAAGCAAACAGAAAGUUGCUCAGCUUGGGUCCAAAAAGGAAUAAUUUGUAUUUUGAAGGGGUCUAUUUAGAUUAACCUAAAAUUACUUAAUUUAUUAAGAAUGUGCCUGUACAGCCACCCCAGGCACCAAGAUGGUAAUUUUGGUUUUAAUUUUGUCAUAUAUGUGGCCGAAAAAGCACAGAAUAACCUCCAGGCUAUGUUCUCUUUGUGAAGGGGUUCCUCUUGCUGUAGCACCACAUGGUGUGUUGCCUCCAGCUCACACAUUUCCAGUGGGAGAGUUCUCUCUUCCAAACUCUCUUGUUCUGUGAACCACACAACUGACCACAAACAACCUGAAAUCUUUCUGUCUUGAAUUUCCAGCCAAUUUUCACUAUAGGCCAUUGCUCAGGCAGUUCUAAAUGGAAAGGUGCAUAAGAAGAGCCUUGACAAGGGAAGUUACGUGAUCUCAAACCCAUGAUGCUCUUUCUUCUCCUCUCCCCUUGACACCCAUGCAUACACAUAAAUAAAGAAAUACACCCACCUAUUUAUCUCCCUUUUGUGGGGUAAUUGCCUAGGUUGUGGCCAGACUGCAGUGCUGGUGCAGAGACAUACGAGCUCCAUGGGCUUGUGUGGUUCUGUGCAGGCUCCUUAGCUGAGGCUUGGAGCUGGACCUGCCAGGACCAAGGCUGGAGCUGUGCUGAGGCAGCUCAGGGGAUGUUACCCAUGUGCCAGAGCCAACUGUUUAUUCUGGUAACUUGGGCUGCAGAAGCAGGCUGUGCCUGGGCUAGGAGGCUUGCCAGAUACCAUGUGUAUUGGAGAACACUGCAGAUGAAACCAGGAGGACCUAGUGGGAAUGUGGGAGCCAUGGAAAAAAAGUAAUCUCACUGUUUAGAGCAUCAUAAAAAAAUUAUUACAAUGAACAGCAGAGAAUGGACUUUACUCCCACUCAUCUCUUUGCACUCAUCUGCCCAAUGAGUAUUUUAGCUGCAAAUUAUAAAGGUUGGGAUCCUUGUCAUCUUAUUCUUCCACUUAUCAGUGUCAGCUGCAGACAUGUUACAGACAAGUGGCAAUCAACACCUUUCAAUCAUGUAGCAAAUCUUCAACUGUUACCUAAGCUGCAAAAUCUGGAGGGAAAGAAACCUCAGAUUUACAAAUACCUUCACAUACUCCAUACAGGUUUGUGCUAAUUUUUAUGCUUACACCUACUGAGACAGUUUCUGUGGGCAAAAACCCCACACCUCAUCCAGCAACUAAAGUCAUUGCAAAUAAGGUCACAAUACUACUUUUCCACAAAAAUCCUCUUAUUUGGUGAAUGAGGUGGCUCUAUGGUAUCUGCUUGAAAGAGUCCAAAGGCUUUGGAGGGAUCCAAGAAAGCUGAUUGAUAUUUAAGCUUCACCUCCUCCAAGGUCAACAGGGGUCCAUCUUAAGGAGCAGGAAGUCAGGCAAAAAUGCCAGGAGACCUGCAUGGAUGAACAAGGAGCUUCUGGCAAGAUUAGAACACAAAAAUGAAGUAUAUAGAAGGUGAAAGCAGGGACAGGAGACCUGUGAAGGAUAUAGAGAUGCUGUCCAAGAGGGCAAAACACAGAAAAGGCAAAGACCAACCAGAAUUAAAUCUGGUGAGGGGUGUCAAAGGCAACAAGAAGGCUGUCUGUAAUUAAAUCAGUCACAAAAGGAGGACUAGGGAAAAUGUGUACCUGCUGCUGCUGAAGGUGGCAGGGGCCCUGGUGACACAGGACACAGAAAAGGCCAAGCUACUGAAUGCCUUCUUCACCUCAGUCUCUACUAGAAAAACCUACCCUCAGCAAUCCAAGGACCUGGAGACAGGGGGAAAGUUUGAAAGAACACUUAAGUGAGGUGGAAGAGACUCAGGUUACAGAAUACUUAAGCAAACUGGACAUGGACCCCAGUGGGAUGCACCCAAAAAUGCUGAGGAAGCUGGCUCAUGUCAUUGCAUUUUGAUUAUCUUUGGAUGAUCAUGAUGACUUGGAGAGGUGCAUGAAAACUGGGGGGAAAGCAAAUGUCACUCCUAUCUUCCAAAAUUACCUGAAGGAGUACUCGAGGAACUAUGUGUUUUAAUGACAAGCUACUGGUAACCCUCUUCUCCAGUCUGUGACAGCCUCAGCCCUCUAACCUGGAAACAGCACAGAGGUGGUUCUGGUGCUGGGUUGCAAAUUCAUUCCAUUGAUUAGAGCAGCAACUGUUUGCUUCCUUCAGAACCCAUCCAGACUUCAUUUUGCCCAGACCUUUUUUUUUCCCCUUUGUACUUUGCUGCUGAAAAUAAGCUGCAGGUGAGAAAUUAGGAAGACCUCUGAAUGCUAGUUUGAGUGCCAGCCUUCAAGUAUCUGCUGGACAAGGCUUGGCUCUCUGCUGGUUGACAUGCAGCCUUAGUGCAGCCUCAGAAAGUUCAGGUUCAUGUUUAUUUGCUUGUUUUUAUAGGCUCCCAUAAUUUAAAAUAAAGGAAAGAAAAAAACAGUAACUUUUAGGAUAAUAUGACUUUUGUAGCUCAGCCGACCCCUUAACAGAAUUUUGUGGCAUAAAGGAAAACCAGAAUGCUAGCCUUAGAGUUUAGUCCUUGCCAGAUUUUAAGAUUAACUACAUAAAUGUGGAGCAUGUAUGUGGUUUUCGAAAUAGGUGACACAAACCUUUGCAUAAUAAAAAUAGUUCAUCAGUUGAAAUAAGAGAUUGCAACCAGAUCUUAUUUUUUAUUUCAUCUUGUGGCAAACUGAAAUCCUGAAUAAUAAUUAAUAAUAAUGAUAUGAUAAUGAAUUAUAUUACAUUAUCCUAAUCAUCCUUAAUUACAUUAACUGAUAAUGGGAUUUACAUGCCAUUUCAGUCACAUCUGUAAAUAUGCAGAUCUUGACUGCUUUGGUCAAUAGGCUCUUUAGCAGGAGCUGUUUCAGAAGAAUCUAUUGUAGCUCUAAUAUGCUUUCUAGCACCACGACACACACAGGAUCCCUGUUUUCUGCCUGAACUGACAGUUCUCUGUUCUUGCCUAUCAGUCCUUCCACAAAGGCUGCACAGAAAUUCCAGUCGUGUGAGUUAUACGAAAGGUCAAUCUCAUUUAUGUGAUAGCCAACUGAGAAGAAGUAGUGCUGAAGUAUCUUGCCAGCUACAGUGCUAGGAAGAUCAUGUCACUGUAGUUUUUGGGCUUUUGAAACAAAUCUGUCAGACACAUUUUCUACGAAGCAAUGUCAAGCCACUCUUUAGCUCCAAUGCUUUGUAGUUCAACAUAAUGCUAUGCUCCAUGAACACAGGAUGAACUGGGAGUCUUUGAGUGAAUAUGUACCCAAUUAAAAGUAAAUUGUCAGCCACACUUCACAGGGACUAAUUCUGCUUUAAACACCAGGUGUCACUGCAGUAUACUCCUGACUCCACACCAACCUCCUGUCAGGUUAAAGCUUUACUUUUAAGUGAUGUCAAAGCUUAUGGAGAACAAAGAUGCUUGCACUUUCUGUUCCCAAGUGUCUCCACGCAGCUAUAUGAUUAGCCAGAAUCUGGGAAAACUGUUCAAUAUUUCAACCAGCCACAUUUAUGGUUCUAUGUGGUUGGCCUCAAACAUGAAGCUAACCAUAGUAAUAGAGCGAUUUUAUAGCUGAUAGCAAUUGUUCAGAAUGAAGACUAAGAAAAAAAAAAAAUCCGUGAAACAGUUCUCUUGAUAAUAAUACUGCAUGCGCUUUUUUUCCCCCAAAAGAUCAGCCUGUAUUGGAUAAUAUUCAACAGUUACUUAAUACAAAAUUUAUAUCAAAUUGCAUAAUUUGCAGCUUCCUGGCCCAUGAACAAAUGUUCAGGAAAAAGCAAUCUUCUUUUGCACUUAUCAGAUUCUGAAUGAUUUUGCACAUGAAAUAUUCCUUAUUUUUACAAAUUCUCUAUUUGACCCAAAACCUUGUAUCUUUUGAUUAUUAAAAUAUACUUACCCAGAUUAAACAUUAAAAAGCCAUCACUUUGACAAUGAACAGAUACUACUUGUCUAAUUUCUUCCAUCUCCUAGCUUGGUGCAACUACUCCCUGUUUGCACUGUGAAUUUUCCAGGAACUUGUUAAUCAGUAACUACUUAGUAUUAUACUAAGUGGGUAAAGCUGCCCUUUUCCUAUCUGUAAUUAAAGAUAAUGAGGAGGAAGGUGCAAGUCAUGGAGAGUGCAAGACCCAAAAGGUUAGGUAAAACCUAAAAUUAGCCUCAUGCUCUAGUGUACAAAGGAGCCUUGUUCCAGUGACAUGCUUAAAAAUGACAUUUCUUUGUGUUAGACUUACAAGCAGAAUCUGUGUUACAUAUUCAGCAGUGGUCCUAAGUCAUCUGCCUCUGAAAUGCUUCAGGAUGCUCUUAAAAGUAUUUCUACACAAAUGAGUCUUGCUACUGACAGAGCAGUGCAGCAAAUGGAUGGGGAACAUUACCUAGAGAGCAUCUAUAACAAAGGAAAAGGAAUCAAAUGCCACAGCAAUUUCAGAGGAUAAUCCAUAGGGCUGGUAAUUGCAAGUUUAAAAAUGCUGAAAGCUGCACAGCUUUGAAAGGCUCAAACCUAAUAUUCUUACCUGCAUUAAAGAGCAUAGUGCCACUAUUCAUGGCAGUCCCUGCUUUAGUCAGAGACAACUUAAAGUUGGUGCUGUUGUGUGCAUGCUUGAAUCUUGGCAGGACUGUGGCUUUGGGAGGAGCAAGGAGCUAUAUAUCACAGAGAAGUCUUAGUAGUUCUUGUCAGAUAAUGAAAUCAGCACAAAAUUCCCAGAACAAACAGAAUUCUAUAAAAUAAUGCAGGUUUUAAGACCUGCAGGAUGAAGUGACUGCAAGGACUGAAUAAUACAUUUGUUAAGAAAACAACAAAAAGAAGCACAGAUAAAAACUGACCAACCAACCACUAAAACAAAAGACAAGGCUUAUUUAUUGUGGUUUAUUCUGUCUGUCUAUUGAAUUUAUAUAUAGAUUUUAAUCCAAUGAAUUUUGCCAGGAUUUUUGAAUUAAAUUAAUUUCAUUGCAAUGUAACAUGUUUCCCAUUUGACAUAAUUUACAUGGAUUUCCAAUGAAUUUGAGUUAUUUGCAAAUAUAAUAACCAGAGAAAAUGGCAGAGCCUCUUUUAAAUGCUUUCAGAGAAUACAGUACAGAAUCAUAUGAUUUUUUUUUUUCUGCAUAUAAACAAGUAACUAUUAGGAUGCUACUGUACAUAAAUAAAACCUGUAUUUUUUAUUAUUCACCUAUGUUCUUACUUUUAGAUAACUGCUUCAUAUGUUCAUGUAGCAUUUUUCCCCCAGAAAUAUUUACAUAAAACUUUCUACAUUUACAGUAAAUAACCAUAAUUGCCUACUGUGCUUUCAGCUGAAUUGGCUAUAGAAAUGUCUGAUGAAGAUUCUUGGAACAAAGGUAUGACUAAAUUACAUAAACCUGUGUAUACUAUUACAAAAUAUUGAGAGGAAUUCAAUGGCAUUUGUUAAUUUACAAAAUGCAAUUUAGUGUUGGAUGUGAACUGCUCUAACAGUAGGAUAAGCCCUGCAAUUACAGUUAAACUACAAUUUAUAGAACAUACAUUCUGCAAAACUACAGUAUUCCAGUGUUUGCAGUGAUGUUGAUUAAAGCAUUUGAUUUCAAACAGGUAGCAAGCCAAAUAACUCUUCAUGUAGCAAACAAGCCUUAGCUAUUGCCAUCUCAGAAGUCUGCAUGCAUUGACUCCAUGCAUUGUGUAUAUGGCACAGUCAUUGAAUCACUGAGCUGUUCCCACUGCCCACAGAGCUGAACUUCACAGGAUAUUCCACUAUAUCCACUUUAAGAUAGCCAGGACAGUCCUAAGCCUCUAUUUGCACAAGCUCAUACUGUUUUGAGGAUGUUUUGCAGUUCUGUGUCAGUGAUCAGAGACUUAAAUAGUUGUCCAGAAAACACUUUUUGUUGCUAGAACACUGUGUAAGAGAACUUUGCUGGGAGAUAUUCCAGCAACACGUAUUUUUUCCAUUAUAAAACAAUGGAUAAAAUAAACAAUGUCUGUAUUUACAUAUUCUUAUGCACUAUGUUCUUAGUAUGCAGUGUUCCAUAUAUAAAGUAAUUUUAUAGUGAAGCUCAUAUAGCACCCAAUUUUAAGUGACUCUCACUGAGACACGAUUUUAAUAAUUAGCUAUUAGACAUAAUUAUACCUAUAACUGACUAUUUUUUGUUGUUUUUAUGGAAGUCAUAUCACUAAUAUAAAAAAAAGAAAAUACAUUUCACUGAAAAUACAAACAAAAGUACGUAUCACUAAACCAAACUUCUGAACUCUUAGGGCCCAAUCCUGCAGCCUUGGCUCAUGCAAAGAAUUCUAUUUAAAUAAAGUAAUCCAGUUAGGGUUGGGUUUUUUAUUAGUUUGGGUUUUGGUUUUAUUUCUUGCUAAAAUCCCCAUAUCAUGCAAGUCCAGAUCUACACAUGGUGCUUAUUUUAGUGCAUUUACAUUUGUCCAUGUUGGGUCUCUAACAGAACAAAAACAUGUAUUUAGAAUUCAUUAAUUUCCAUUCUGUUGAUAUGGAGGCUUGGUAAAAGAUAAUCCAGCUGCAUCAUGGUUGGGUGGUCAUGGCUUGAUCCUGCCUCUCUUUAUAUAGGGAAUACUGAGAAGAAUAAACAAAUUUAUCCAUCUUUUGUGAGACUCAGCACCCCCUCCCUUUAACCUUUUCUACCUUAAAAAUCUUUUCAAAACAGGUUGUCUGUGGGACGGGGGAAAUGCAAAUGAAACUUAGCUAUUGUUACUUUAUUUUUCUUCCUAGCUGCUGCUGUGGGCUGUACCUGACAGUGAAUGCUCUUUUGUGGUUCUGAAUGUGGGCUCUCAUCACACUUUCAUCUAGAAAGACUGGUCAGACUGAGGAGAAGCAGCUCACAUCCCCUUUCUUAAGUUAAAGGGGUUGGGACUGUGAAGCAAAGGGCCAUUCCUAAAUAGUCAUUGCCACAGAGAUGAGGUGAGAUGAGAUGAUGAGAUGAGACAAUGAGAUAGAUGAUGAGAUGAGAUAGAUGAGAUGAGAUGAGAUGAGAUGAGAUGAGAUGAGAUGAGAUGAGAUGAGAUGAGAUGAGAUGAGCGCUGCUAGAAAUCAUGAAGUUGGUACAUGCAGAAACUCAGGAGCCACCACAGUGGCUCAUUUCAAAGAGCUGUCUGCUGGUAGGAUGUUCUGAGGAGACUGGUUAUAUGACCUUUCUCAGUCUCAGAUACAAAGAGCAAAUUCCAGUAUCCUCAGACAUGUGAGAAAGCAGGUUCUUGUGCUCUUAGAUGUCUCUUUAAUAAUGCAUUUAAACAUUGUGACACUUCACAUCUUAUGUGUGUCUUUAACUGUCAUGUGAGUGCUUGCAAGCUACAGAAUUUCUUGCCUGGAAAGAAAGUGAAGACCCCCACAGAUGUCUUCCAGACGGGAUGUGAGUACCUCAAAACAUCAGACUGAAGUCCAGGCUUCUGAGUCUCACAGGCACAUUGAAAAGGUCCCGUUCAGGAGUGUUAAUGUCAUGCAGUUUCUGUGCCCUCUGUACAACUGUCAUAUUUCACUAAGGACAAAAGAGAUUCUCAGGUGGUGACAGGUGAACAUAGUGGGGAAGAGCAGUUCCAUAAAUAAGAGGGUAGUCCAAAUCCUACCUAUGCUGAAAGUUAAAAUAUGAGUUAAAAUUGUUCUAUUUUUAGAUAUUAGGAAUUGAAAACAUCAGAAUUGUCUCCUUUUUUUUUUUAAUAGUAAAAGGAUUUGUAGUAUUUCAGCCCCCUACUCAAUAUAGCAAGAUUAAAAGGUUAUAUUGUUUUGUAGUGAACAGGAGGCGUUCUGAAAUCCCAAAUGAAGCAUUCUGAAGUUACUUACAUACCUUAUAAAUAAUCUGAGCCAAUUGUUGCAUUAUCAUAAAGUAUAGGAAAUGACAUACCUGCUUUCUAAAUGAAAAAAAAAUAAUUGUAUUUUCUGUACAAACACAUGCUAGUUAAAAUUAGCCAAUGAAUUUGCAGAGACAAAACCCUUGUCAGACUGUGCUAUUAUAACAAUAAACAAACACCACAAAUGAAAGCCAAUAUUUAGGAAUGUGUAUGGCAAGAGAGCACCACAUACAGUAAUCUAGUGGCUGUGCAAAAACAGUGAGCAUCUUUACCUUUACAGAAACAUCCAUAUUUUUAGGCACUUUGCUCUGGCAAUGACUUCAGCCACCACCUUCCCAAAGAGAUGCUACAAAUCAACUUCAGCACCAGGAUAUGAAAUUGUAUUAACAGUAAUUAUGUUCCCUGCUCCCAGGAAGAGACCUGUCCUUGAAAGUCUUCAGCACACCACCAAAGGAGCACCUGUCAGGCUAAGCAUCUUUCUGCAUUCUUCUGUUUUGCAGCAGACUGCCACACCAAAUUACUUGUGAGGCAUGUAAAAGCCUUAUUCAGGCAUACUUCAACCUCAAAAAAUAAAACUCAUCUGAAAUAACUGGUUAUUUGCCCAAGAGCAAGAGCCCCUCAUUGGAGUGUGGUUCAAAUUAAAAUGUUUGAUACAGAAACAGAUUUCUUACAGUCAUGUGGCAAACAAAUGUAUAUGCACAACAGGAGACAGAAAAAAAAAGUCCUUGAGCUGGGCUGCGAUGUUUGCAGCCCCACAGUGCACAGAUGAGAGUUCUGUCUCUAGCUGCUUCCAAGCCAAGUCACUUGGCCUUGAAUGGCUGCUUUUGAACACCCGUGUCCCAGCCUAGGCAGGGCUGUCACAUGGGGUGACUCCACCCUGGCUGAGUGAGAUGAGCAAGAGACAGGGCAGCACUGUCACCUUUUGUAGUCAAGAGUAGCACAGUUAACAUGCAGUUCUGGAAAGCAGACAGUACCAGAGAGAGCACUCUGUGUCACAGACUUACACAUGCAAACUAUUUAUCCAGCAUCUUGUGAAAGCACCAUUGAAAGGUUGAACUGAGAGCACCGCAUACACGGAAUUGUGUUCAAAACAGCGGACAGGAGCUGCUCAGGGAGCCAUGGGGAAGCAUGCAGCCCUGCAGGAUGGAUUCCUUGAAGGCACGGUAGAUAGAUGAGGGCUUGGAGAACAAGGCAGCUGGUCAUCAGCCAGUUGAAAUUAUGGGGAUGACCCAGUUCUGGGUUACUCAUGAAUAUGAAUCCCCACGCCUACUCAUCUGUCACUCCAUGGAUCCUGCUACAUGUAAGCAAGCCUGCAAUUUAUAUUAAUAGAAAGACUGAAGCAACAAAUUGUUCACAGCUGACAUGAACACCACCUCCCUGAAUGCUCACUAUUGUAAAACCUAGGUUCUUCAAAAGAAGACUGAUAAUUCUUAUUGCAAAGCUUAGUCAUCAUAGCUACAUUACUGGGCUUUUUAGUGGAUGUUUGUGAGUGACUAUUGCUAUUGUAGGGCUGACUGAGGUCCAGUACACUAAAUGUGUCUCUAUAAAGAUGUUUCCAAGUUGGGACAAGUAAAUGUUGGGUUUGUCCCUGUGUACUUCUGAGUUAAACCACAUACAGUGUGGAAAAGAGUAUGGAAGUACUAGCUACUUUGUAGAAAAGGCACUAUAACUGAUCUGAUAAUUAGAUACAUGCCCAUGCUACAGGUAUCUGCAAAGAAUUUAUUUCUCUCUCUGACUGAGAAAGUUAUUCUACACUUAUGAACUGGAUGACUGGUUUACAUAUUGGAUUAGCACUGGUUCAGGUACAUGGUAAGAACAACUCUCAUGGGAGACACAGAUUCAUGGAAAAGUUGUCUGAACUGCAUUUCCUGUUUUCUGCCAGUUCCCAGAGGGAAAUCAAAAAGAUCUUUUCACUACUGCAGUUAUACACAUAUUACUGCACGGUUGGCCUUACUGUGGCAAUUUGAUGAGAGAUUUUAUUGUACAGUUGUGCUAAAAAAAGGAGGCAAAGAAAUAGACUGUGAAGUUUCCCCAGAAAAUAUCACCAGAUAACAAAUACUUCAUUUUGGAUGCUGACAUUUUAUUUAGGGAUAUGGUGAAAGAGUUAAAAACAGCAGUAAAGAGACAAGUAGAAGAGACUCCCUUUUCUUGACAGAUUAAUCUCUUUGGGGAUUACUGCUGGAAAAAUCUUUCUAUCAAAUAUAUUAAUGAAAAGGAAGCAUUGACAACAGCCAUAAAGGAACAGGUAUUACAUAUGGAAAGAGGGAACUAAACCAGCACCUUGAUUCUUUGUCAAGAAAUGUAAAAACUCACUUGCCAACCUUGGACUGAAUUCUAAAACAAUUUCAUUUAGCAUUAAACUACAUAAUGGAGAUUAUGCAGGACUCCCCCACACAUCCUUGUUCAGGAGGGUAAUUAUUUUUUGCAGCUUUUAAGUCCAGUGUGUGUGGAUCUCAAGACUGAGGGCAGGUACAUGUCCUGAAAGCAGCAAUUCAAAAUGUGAAUAGCUUCUCCAUGAGACUGAGGUCUGAUGAACCAUUAAAAGGUUGUGACCAGCCUGAAAGUAAGUUAAAGAGGAAGGAAUGUGCCACUGCAGCACUGCAGACAUGGCACCAGCUCCCAGUGCAAGGCUGUAUGAGACGGGUUAAAAACAGAAACCAAAGAAAGAAGAGAGGGGGAGGACAAUUUUUCUUUCACUGUGUAAAAGGGAAGUCUUGGGGGUUUCAGGAGCGGUUGUCAGAGCAGAUGAAAGAAAGGACAGAAAGACUUAUGUCCCUUCCUACAAAGCAACAUUUCUGAUCUGGCUAUGAAAAACAGAAUGACUGGACAAUCCUCCACCAUCCUCUGACCUGCUGGUCUCAAUGGGGGUAUUUCUAGAGUGAUGUUUGGUUUUCUUCUUUUGCACCUUAAAAUUUACAAUCAAGAAUUCUGUGCUAUUCUUUGCUUUCAACUGACAUUGUCUCAAGAUAUCUUUGAAUUGGUCUUGAAAUUGAAUCUAGUGAACCUGACAAACCCCAUGUUCCUACUGAUUCUCCAAAAGCAGUCAUCCAUGUAAAGGGAUAACUACAUCUUGAGAUGUAUUUGGGAAUUUCAGGAGUUGAGGUAUGCCUGCCACUAAGCUGCAGGAGUCAGACUGAGGACUACAUAUAUAAACUGGUACCCCUGAGCAAGGAACAGACAGCAAACACAUAGUUGAAGACAGAAGCGGUUCUCCACAACAAGUCUUCUGAAACAUGGUGCAUCUUGUCUUUGGCCUUAAACAGUGUAAAGUAGGAGGAGAGAACAUUCAAAGGUGAAUUCACAUUCAAGGAAACAGAAACAAAAACUUUUAUAAAAGGAAAAACUCCAGAAAGCAGAACCACAGUCAUCCUAGAAAAGCACUGUAGUGGAAGCAAAGGGUUUGCUGCAGCUGUCAAAACAUGGCAGCAUGGUCAAGAACAGGAUGGAUGUAGAGUGGUCUGAACUGCUUCUCCUCCAGGGAAGAGAGUCGUAGAUCGAGUGUGCUGCACUGCUGCACAAGGUCAGGAUCCACGAAGUUUGAACCACCCUGUGGGCAGAGGUUGACUGCACAACUGCACUGCUCCUCAGAGCUGUACUACUUUCAGGCAAAGCCUGUAAAUCAGCACACUUCUCUCAGUUAUGAAGCUAUUUCUAAUAAAUGUGUGUAACCAGAUCUAUGUUUGCUCUUUAUAGUACCAAGUCAUGUUGAGAACUGACCAAGCAUCCGAGAAGGGCUCAACCUUCAAAACCCAGUACCAACUGAGCUGAAAUUAAACCUGCUUUGUUUACUACAGAAUAAGCCAACCUCAGUUCAUGUACUGUUUAUUUUGAAUUAAAAAUAAACUGUUCUUCAAGCACAUGCCAGAUAGUACGUACGUGAAUGUUGCCAAGCUUGGACUACAACUUAUACUUGUGUCCAAAUUACAAGUGUAUGCUUAUAUACAUGGGGAUAUGUGCACAUGCAUGUCACACAAUGCUUGUUCUUUACUGUUGGACUAUUCUUGUACCAUUGUACUAUUUAUUGUAUUAUUCUUGAAGAAAAAAGGUAGCAAUCCAGUACCUGCUUAUUUCAUCCAAGCACUGUACCUUGUUUUUCACAGUAACAGAAUAACUCAGCAUUUUUGAAAAGCCAGUGGCUUUCAAACUGUUUGUCAGAGGCCCUAGUAGGUCUUGGUUGCCCUCCUGCUCCUUUUAGCAGAAGAACAAGGAGGACUAGUGGCUAUGCCUGACUAAAUCUCACUGUCUCUUUUGCCUCUUUUUUGCCCUGUGGCAGUGUUCUUUUACAUAGACUCCAUUAUUUUAGCUUAAAAACAGCAAGGCAUAUUCCAUUUCCCUGCUCAAGGAGACAGAAAAAGUCAACAAAACAACCCCAGUAGAUAAUUUUCAUUUAUCUACUUUUGAAAUAGGAAAAAAAUAAAAAAACCAAAAACCAGCCCAAAUAAAGAAUGGGAUUCCUCCUGUUACAAACCCCAGUAAGUCAAUCUACAAAAACUUUGAAGAUGAGAAAUAUGUUGUUUAAAAAAAAAAAAAGUAUUACCCACUUAACACAGUACAUACUUUUUCCUAUAUAAGAAACUAGACAAACAUUAAAAUAGUUAAGUCUUUUAAAAGGGCAAAAUUCUGCAAAAAAAAUAUUACUCAACACUACUAAGGUCAGAUUAUACAUUAUGCCAGUGCAUUCAAUUGCACAAGUUUUGCAACAUGACAAUGGUCUGGGAUGUGUAUGUGCAGGUGUUUAUGUCUAUUUGAGGGAAACAGUGCAAGAAUACUAAGAGUGACCAUUGCCAUUUCAAAGGGAUAUUUCACAAAUAAUCAAACAAAACCCCUACAAAUAUCAGUACACAUCUCAAAUACUGCAAGUCAUAUUCUACAGCCCUUGACAUUAAAAAAAAAGAAAAGAAAAA